AAAAGAUUUAUCGGCAUACGAUGGAUCCGCGUCCGAUUAGCCAGUUGGCGGGGUAACGGCCCACCAAAGCGACGAUCGGUAGCCGGCCUGAGAGGGCGGACGGCCACAUUGGGACUGAGACACGGCCCAAACUCCUACGGGAGGCAGCAGUGGGGAAUAUUGCACAAUGGGGGAAACCCUGAUGCAGCGACGCCGCGUGAGUGAAGAAGUAUCUCGGUAUGUAAAGCUCUAUCAGCAGGGAAGAAAAUGACGGUACCUGACUAAGAAGCCCCGGCUAACUACGUGCCAGCAGCCGCGGUAAUACGUAGGGGGCAAGCGUUAUCCGGAUUUACUGGGUGUAAAGGGAGCGUAGACGGCGCUGCAAGUCCGGAGUGAAAGCCCAUAGCUUAACCAUGGUACUGCUCUGGAAACUGUGGAGCUUGAGUGCGGGAGGGGCAGGCGGAAUUCCUAGUGUAGCGGUGAAAUGCGUAGAUAUUAGGAGGAACACCGGCGGCGAAGGCGGCCUGCUGGACCGUAACUGACGUUGAGGCUCGAAAGCGUGGGGAGCAAACAGGAUUAGAUACCCUGGUAGUCCACGCCGUAAACGAUG
rnacentral:rRNA from 1 species